CAUUCAUAUUUUUGUGGUUUUGCAUCUUGUGGUAGGUAAAAAUUUGAUGAAGAAUCGUCUUUCAUCUUCACAUGGGCUUAUGUGGUUAUCCGUUGACUGGGGACCCAUAAAUUUGAUAGUUGGGAAGCAUGAAAAUGUGAAGCAGAACCUAGCAGUGGCUACAGCUUGCAGAUAAUGCAUUCAGAUUCGAGAUUGAAUUGGGCGAGCCUUAUGGUUUCUGUUGAGAAACUUAAUAGCUAUAUUACAGGUUUGGACUACAAUAACCUUUCUCUUGUUUGCUGGUUGGUGAAGAAGAUUUUGGGCACCAACAUGCUAUGUCUAGCACAUGCUUAGAUUUGCAAAAUCUCUCUCAGCCAAUUCUUUAAAGAAUUACAGAUUUAUAAAUCUCAAAGAAGAUGGUUCUUGCCAUUUGAUCAUGCAAUGCUCUGUUUCUGUCCUCAAAACUCAGGAACUAUCACACAACACUGAUCAGCCUUGGGUCCCAAUUGCAAUAAGUACCUAAUCAUAUGAUCAACAAUUACAUUCAAGUACCCAACUAUUACACCCUUCUUUUGAGGCUCUCACUCGCUUACGGCACAAUGAUCAGCACAAAGAAACUCAUCAAAAUGGCAAGGAAGUGGCAGAGAAUAGCAGUCCUCAAGAGAAA